rnacentral:tRNA from 1 species
UACCCGGUAGUGUAAUGGUAACACAACAGGUUUUGGUCCUGUUAUUCUAGGUUCGAGUCCUAGCCGGGUAA